CCAAAUCUCUUUGCCUUUUGGCUUAGAUCAAGUGUAGUAUCUGUUCUUUUCAGUGUAACAGCUGAAACGUCAUCAUUGAUGGCUUUUAUAAUGUUACCUUACUUUUUGGAUCUAAGCAGUCGGGAUCGAUGAGCUUGCUCACACCCAAUUGCACCGUGUCGUUGCUAUUGCACCUUUGGCUUCUGACGCA